ACAAAGGCGGGAGGAUUAAGUAUGAAUUAGAUGUUGGUCAGCAUCCCGGAACACGGUGUAAAUCCGUGGCGGUCCCGCCGCUGUAAUCGGGGACGAGGAGGGCGAAGGGAAUAUCCCGGCCACUGCCGCAGGCCACUGCGGUGGGAAGGUUGCGCCUUCAACGGUUAAUCCGAAAGCCAGAAGACCUGCUGUUCCAGACACAAUUUA
rnacentral:ncRNA from 2 species